rnacentral:rRNA from 1 species
UACGUAGGGCGCAAGCGUUAUCCGGAAUUAUUGGGCGUAAAGAGCUCGUAGGCGGUUUGUCGCGUCGGCCGUGAAAACUUGGGGCUUAACCCCAAGCCUGCGGUCGAUACGGGCAGACUUGAGUUCGGCAGGGGAGACUGGAAUUCCUGGUGUAGCGGUGGAAUGCGCAGAUAUCAGGAGGAACACCAAUAGCGAAGGCGCUCGCUGGGACGUUACUGACACUGAGGCGCGAAAGCGUGGGGAGCGAACAGG